rnacentral:sRNA from 1 species
GCCAGGCGCAGAGGCGCUCACCUGUAAUCCCAGUGGCUCAGGAGGCUGAGGCAGGCGGAUCGAAAGUUCAAAGCCAGCCUCAG